UUAAAGUGAUCCCUGGGUAUAGUCUGUGA
rnacentral:piRNA from 1 species